AAAUAUUCUUUGAAGGAGAAGAGUAACUAAUAGUAAAUUGGACAAGAGAACGAAGUCAUUGGCUGGAAGCUUCGACCAUGAACAUUAGUGAAGACACUCCCUAGAAGUUAGGCUGAACAUAGUUUUAUUAUUAGGUCUAACCGUUUACUGCGUUAAAGUUUUAAGUUGGUAUUUAUAUACAACUAAGGUGGCACCGCGCAUAUAGCGUCCUUAGA
rnacentral:ncRNA from 1 species